GCGGCGGCGGAGACAGCGGUGGGGGAGAGCCGCGCGUGCCAAACGCCCUCCUCCCACCCCCUCCCACGACUCCAUGGUUCCGGAGUCAUCGUGCCCUCCCGCAGAAAACCCUAGCCACACCCCCGAGCAAAGGUCUCCGCCCAAACUCGGGGGGUUCGGGUUGUCCUGCUCCUAUAUUCGUGUUUCAGCCAAAUGGCAUCUUUUUCCUCAGACACCCAAUCCCAGUUGGCAGAGGAGAAACCCAGGUGGCCCCCAGCAGCAGACCCAGGACGUCUGACCAUCAGAGCAGAUCAGUGUUUAACAGCAUCCUUCUCGCUACAAGUAUUUUCCUCAAGAAUCGUGGAAGGAA